rnacentral:rRNA from 1 species
UGAACAUUGAGCCUUGAUGUGUAGGAUAGGUGGGAGGCUUUGAAGUGUGGACGCCAGUCUGCAUGGAGCCGACCUUGAAAUACCACCCUUUAAUGUUUGAUGUUCUAACGUGGACCCGUUACCCGGGUUGCGGACAGUGUCUGGUGGGUAGUUUGACUGGGGCGGUCUCCUCCUAAAGAGUAACGGAGGAGCACGAAGGUUGGCUAAUCCUGGUCGGACAUCAGGAGGUUAGUGCAAUGGCAUAAGCCAGCUUGACUGCGAGCGUGACGGCGCGAGCAGGUGCGAAAGCAGGUCAUAGUGAUCCGGUGGUUCUGAAUGGAAGGGCCAUCGCUCAACGGAUAAAAGGUACUCCGGGGAUAACAGGCUGAUACCGCCCAAGAGUUCAUAUCGACGGCGGUGUUUGGCACCUCGAUGUCGGCUCAUCACAUCCUGGGGCUGAAGUAGGUCCCAAGGGUAUGGCUGUUCGCCAUUUAAAGUGGUACGCGAGCUGGGUUUAGAACGUCGUGAGACAGUUCGGUCCCUAUCUGCCGUGGGCGCUGGAGAACUGAGGGGGGCUGCUCCUAGUACGAGAGGACCGGAGUGGACGCAUCACUGGUGUUCGGGUUGUCAUGCCAAUGGCACUGCCCGGUAGCUAAAUGCGGAAGAGAUAAGUGCUGAAAGCAUCUAAGCACGAAACUUGCCCCGAGAUGAGUUCUCCCUGAGACUUUAGGUCUCCUGAAGGAACGUUGAAGACGACGACGUUGAUAGGCUGGGUGUGUAAGCGCAGCGAUGCGUUGAGCUAACCGGUACUAAUGAACCGUGAGGCUUAACCUU